rnacentral:tRNA from 1 species
GGAUAGUUGGCUGAGAGGCCGAAAGCAGUCGGUUGCUAACCGAUAAACUGGAAACGGUUCACAGGUUCGAAUCCUGUACUAUCCGCCA